AUUGAACGCUGGCGGCAGGCCUAACACAUGCAAGUCGAGCGGAUGAAGGGAGCUUGCUCCUGGAUGCAGCGGCGGACGGGUGAGUAAUGCCUAGGAAUCUGCCUGGUAGUGGGGGAUAACGUCCGGAAACGGGCGCUAAUACCGCAUACGUCCUGAGGGAGAAAGUGGGGGAUCUUCGGACCUCACGCUAUCAGAUGAGCCUAGGUCGGAUUAGCUAGUUGGUUGGGUAACGGCCUACCAAGGCGACGAUCCGUAACUGGUCUGAGAGGAUGAUCAGCCACACUGGAACUGAGACACGGUCCAGACUCCUACGGGAGGCAGCAGUGGGGAAUAUUGGACAAUGGGCGAAAGCCUGAUCCAGCCAUGCCGCGUGUGUGAAGAAGGUCUUCGGAUUGUAAAGCACUGUUAGUUGGGAGGAAGGGAAGUAAGUUAAUACCUGCCUGUUUUGACGUUACCAACAGAAUAAGCACCGGCUAACUUCGUG
rnacentral:rRNA from 1 species